rnacentral:rRNA from 2 species
UGACCUCGGAUCAGGUAGGAUUACCCGCUGAACUUAAGCAUAUCAAUAAGCGGAGGAAAAGAAACCAACAGGGAUUGCCCCAGUAACGGCGAGUGAAGCGGCAACAGCUCAGAUUUGGAAUCUGGCCUUCGGGCCCGAGUUGUAAUCUGGAGAGGAUGUUUCUGGCGCGGUGCCUUCCGAGUUCCCUGGAACGGGACGCCGGAGAGGGUGAGAGCCCCGUACGGUUGGACACCUAGCCUUUGUGAAGCUCCUUCGACGAGUCGAGUAGUUUGGGAAUGCUGCUCAAAAUGGGAGGUAAAUUUCUUCUAAAGCUAAAUAUUGGCCAGAGACCGAUAGCGCACAAGUAGAGUGAUCGAAAGAUGAAAAGCACUUUGAAAAGAGAGUUAAAAAGUACGUGAAAUUGUUGAAAGGGAAGCGCCCGUGGCCAGACUUGCGCUGCGCGGACCACCCAGCGUUCUCGCUGGUGCACUCCGCGCGGCGCAGGGCAGCAUCGGUUUUCCU